UCCGGUGGCAAUAGCGAAGAGGUCAUACCCGUUCCCAUCCCGAACACGGAAGUCAAGCUCUUCAGCGCUGAUGGUACUUGGGGUUACCCCCUGGGAGAGUAAGACGUUGCCGGAA
rfam:Desulfotomaculum acetoxidans DSM 771, complete genome.